GAAGGGGACGCCAUUGUAAAACAAAUGAAAUAAUGUUAAACAAACAACUUUUUAUGGUUUAAAACUUUUUAAAGUUUUCACGAUGCCCCGCUUCAACUACGAUUCCACCACGGCCGUCUGCAUCGCCACGGAAUAGGAGCUUUCUCGGUCAACCAAAUUGAAGAAGAGAUGUUAUGAUAUCACUGAAGGGCGAACUGAAGGAUAGACGUGGACGACUGUUGGGGGGACACGCCAGCCUGUGGGCUGAUGUUGCUGAUGCUGUGGGAAACACCGGCGGACGUCUUGGGGAAGGUAACGACAUCGAAGCGAAGAGUGUGGAGUUCGACAGCCGCAUAGCUGCGGGCGUGAAGUUGAGGGGGAAGAGACCGGAGAGAAGAUGCAGGGGUGACGAAUCAAGAUGACAAACGAUUUGUUAGUAAUAUCACUGUUUAUAUCUUAUCUGGAUAAGAUACUCAAUUAGACAUCAAGAUGACUGUCACUCGUACACUCAAAAGAUACUAAGAGUAUAGAAGCCAAAAGAGAAACUUGAGUGAUGCAAAAGUUAAAAUUGCUACAAUGGUGCUCACCACAUGUACUCGCAAGUCAAGUUCCUCAAGAUGAAGCAUUAAUAACGCAGCCCUGACAAAAUAAUGCAAAUUUGAAGAAUUCAUAAACAUAAAAAGAACUAACUACUAAUUAAGGUAUAGACUAGAAGAAAUAAUAAAAAUUAAAAUGUAAUAUAAUACUUAGCUACCUACGUUUCGCUACUUCAUACUGAACUGAACCGGAGCCUGACAAUGCACCACACGACCUUUUUCUGAUUAUGUAAAACGCCAUGAAUAGAAUAGAAUUGAUCACAUCUCACAAGGAAGGAGGAGUGAUAUCGCCAAGAAGAAAUUACUGUCUCAAUGCGUAAAAUAUUACUCUACGAAGCAAGAAGGCCAAGAAUAAAGAAAGAAAAGAAAGCAAAACAUAAACGCAAGACGCAAAUAGUAGUUCACGACACGACAAGUUCAUCAGUAUCAUGGAAUUAUCGACAUUGGACUUGAAAUCUCAGUUGCAGUUCCGGUAUUGGAUUGACGACAGCAGUCAACUAUCGAUGAACACUGAUUUGAAGAUGCUUGACGUUCUACAGAGGAAGCAAGAAAAUAAUAAUUAGAGAUAUUUACAGAUUAAAACAUAGUAGUUAUGCACUUUUAUUCAAGUUAAUAUUGUUUACUGAUCAGUAAUAAUAACAUAACCCAAGACUUGUAGCAGCUUAUGCUGAACCUCAUCAUGGCUCUUUUGUUUUUUUUUUCUUUAUUUUUUCAUUUUCUAAUAUUAAUUUACUGAACAUAAAAUGCCAGCUACUCGGAUAUGUAGGUGACUUAGCUAGCUUAGGACUGAUUUUUUAAUCGUUGAAUAUCUGCUGAAGAAUAAACAUUUUGACAUAUCUCAUACUAUUCUUCAGUUAAAAGUUAUACGACGAUUGAGAAAUAAGCCCAUAAGUUUUUUUUAAAACUGAGGUGGAAUUGUGUAAAGCAAUCGUUAUCAUUUGACAGUUACGUACGUAACAUAACGUACGAUUAUUCUGUCAAACACUAACUGAUUUUAUCGUACGUUAUGAACUGUCAAAUGAUUACGAUUGCUUUACACAAUUCCACCUCUCAUCCAGAUUCUUUUUUAUAUUUUCAUUUAUAUAGGAAAAUGUAACAUAAUUAUUUAGCCAAUGUCAAUUUGCAUUCAUAUUAUAAAUAAAUAUUGCACUUGAAAUUAUGAUUACAUAAUAUUUUGGAAUUAAACAUGUCUUAGCUAAGUAAAAUUACGCGAAUUUCACUAUCAUUGGAAUUUAAUAUUUUUCGCUUAUAUUAAAAUCGCAGCUUGAUCCACUGUCAUUCUAGGUAACUUAGAUUUUUAAAUCCGACUCUGUCAGCACUGAAGCUACAUGUAGCACUUUUUUCACUUAUAAGCUUAUGUCUUUUUAUUUAAUGUACUAAAUGAUAGAUCAAUUACGAAAGUAGAUUGCUCCUUUACAGAGACAUAGUAAUAUUACAGUCAAAUGUAUGCUUUCAAAAGUUGUAGAAUAAUUGUUUAAUCAUUAUAAAUAUACUAUUUAAACUAA